GACGAACGCUGGCGGCGUGCUUAACACAUGCAAGUCGAACGAUGAAGCCAGCUUGCUGGUGGAUUAGUGGCGAACGGGUGAGUAACACGUGGGUGAUCUGCCCCAAACUUUGGGAUAAGCCUGGGAAACUGGGUCUAAUACCGAAUAUGACCGAUACUCGCAUGGGUGUUGGUGGAAAGCUCCGGCGGUUUGGGAUGGGCCCGCGGCCUAUCAGCUUGUUGGUGGGGUAAUGGCCUACCAAGGCGACGACGGGUAGCCGGCCUGAGAGGGCGACCGGCCACACUGGGCCUGGGACACGGCCCGGACUCCUACGGGGGGCAGCAGUGGGGAAUAUUGCACAAGGGGCGCAAGCCUGAUGCAGCGACGCCGCGUGAGGGAUGACGGCCUUCGGGUUGUAAACCUCUUUCACCAGGGACGAAGCGAAAGUGACGGUACCUGGAGAAGAAGCACCGGCCAACUACGU
rnacentral:rRNA from 1 species